GAUCUUGGAGGGGAUUGGGUGUAUUCGAUGCCACUGGACCGAUUUGGCUCCAACUAGAUCGCCGGUGUGAAGGGGGCAAUUAGGGUUUCGAAGUUCUGGGCUAGGAGAAGCAUCGGAUUCCUAUGGAUUGUCCUUGUGGCCAAUCAUUGCUUUCUCCUUUGUGAUCCGAUUGAAUCCAUUGAGUGCUUGGACGUCUCCUUCUUGCUGUGAUUGAGGUAUCAGUUGAAGUGGGGAAGAAUUCCAGCAGGGCUAGCUGCGAUUCCUCUGAUCCAGCAAGGAAAAUUCCUCUCACUGUGCUCUGUGGUGUUCUUGAUCAAGCAACUC